AUUGAACGCUGGCGGCAUGCCUUACACAUGCAAGUCGAACGGCAGCGGACCUUCGGGUGCCGGCGAGUGGCGAACGGGUGAGUAAUAUAUCGGGAACGUACCUUUCAGUGGGGGAUAACGUAGCGAAAGUUAACGCUAAUACCGCAUAUUCUGUGAGCAGGAAAGCAGGGGAUCGCAAGACCUUGCGCUGAUUGAGCGGCCGAUAUCAGAUUAGCUAGUUGGUGAGGUAAAGGACUCACCAAGGCGACGAUCUGUAGCGGGUCUGAGAGGAUGAUCCGCCACACUGGAACUGAGACACGGUCCAGACUCCUACGGGAGGCAGCAGUGGGGAAUUUUGGUACAAUGGGCGGCAAGCCUGAUCCAGCCAUGCCGCGUGAGUGAAGAAGGCCUC
rnacentral:rRNA from 1 species